AGUCAUGCAAUGAGCACAGAGCAAACUAUUCUUUCGCCUUUUACUAAAGAAUAUUGUGUGCUUGCUGCAUCAAGUGGCAUACGUAUAUUUUUGAAGGGAGUCCCAACUAAUUAGGGUCU